CCUACGGGAGGCAGCAGUGAGGAAUAUUGGUCAAUGGCCGGAAGGCUGAACCAGCCAUGCCGCGUGAAGGUCAGUGCCCUAUGGGCGUUAAACUUCUUUUGUGCGGGAGCAAUAAUGGUCACGUGUGGCCAGACGAGAGUACCGCACGAAUAAGCAUCGGCUAACUCCGUGCCAGCAGCCGCGGUAAUACAGGGGAUGCAAGCGUUAUCCGGAUUUAUUGGGUUUAAAGGGUGCGUAGGCUGUGAGGUAAGUCAGCGGUGAAAUGCCGCCGCUCAACGGGGUGGAGUGCAGUUGAUACUGCCUUGCUGGAGUGCGGGUGCGGUGGGAGGAAUGUGGGGUGUAGCGGUGAAAUGCAUAGAUAUCACGCAGAACACCGAUUGCGAAGGCAGCUCACGAGUCCGCAAUUGACGCUGAUGCACGAAAGCGUGGGUAUCAAACAGGAUUAGAUACCCGAGUAGUC
rnacentral:rRNA from 1 species